CACGUAGGGGGCGAGCGUUGUCCGGAUUUAUUGGGCGUAAAGAGCUCGUAGGCGGUUCGAUAAGUCGGGUGUGAAACCUCCAGGCUCAACCUGGAGACGCCACCCGAUACUGUCGUGACUAGAGUCCAGCAGGGGAGCGUGGAAUUCCUGGUGUAGCGGUGAAAUGCGCAGAUAUCAGGAGGAACACCAGUGGCGAAGGCGGCGCUCUGGGCUGGAACUGACGCUGAGGAGCGAAAGCGUGGGGAGCGAACAGG
rnacentral:rRNA from 1 species